UGGGGAAUAUUGCACAAUGGGCGAAAGCCUGAUGCAGCGACGUCGCGUGAGGGAUGACGGCCUUCGGGUUGUAAACCUCUUUCAGUAGGGACGAAGCGCAAGUGACGGUACCUGCAGAAGAAGCACCGGCUAACUACGUGCCAGCAGCCGCGGUAAUACGUAGGGUGCGAGCGUUGUCCGGAAUUACUGGGCGUAAAGAGCUCGUAGGCGGUUUGUCACGUCGUCUGUAAAAUCCUAGGGCUUAACCCUGGACGUGCAGGCGAUACGGGCUGACUUGAGUACUACAGGGGAGACUGGAAUUUCUGGUGUAGCGGUGGAAUGCACAGAUAUCAGGAAGAACACCGAUGGCGAAGGCAGGUCUCUGGGUAGUAACUGACGCUGAGGAGCGAAAGCAUGGGUAGCGAACAGG
rnacentral:rRNA from 1 species